rnacentral:lncRNA from 1 species
UGGUAACCACUUAUAAUAUAUAUCUUUGAGAAGAUAGUGGCUCCACUUAGCUCAUACAUCAUGUCACCAAACCGUGAGAUUAGAUGUCUAUACUUGGUGGUAACCACUUAUAAUAUAUAUCUUUGAGAAGAUAGUGGCUCCACUUAGCUCAUACAUCAUGUGGCUCCAUGUGCCAUAUUUAUUUGGAACAAGUACGACUUGUGCAUCACAAGGACUAAGGCUCUCUCUCACAUACCCCUUUUCAUCUAGCUCAUGAACUUGUCUCUCCAACUCUUUGAUCUCUUCAUGGUUCACUCUGUAUGCAGACUUGUUAGGGUACAAAGUUUAUUUGUUUUUUUUUUCGUAGUGGAGGCAAACCAUCUUGAAACACAUCUUUAAACC